UCUGUGUCGCGGUUCGCGACCGGCAGCUGCCAACGCCGGAGCGGUUCGCGAUGCUCCGCGCGCCGCUGGGGCGCCUCGGGAGGAGGAGGGAGGAGUGAGCUGAACCUCUCGACAUCCCCGAUGAAUGGGAGAACAAUCCUAAACAGAUUAUGCGUCUUCGUGAAAGACGACGGCUUGUUUUACUAUGGUUCUCAGGCAUAAAUGCUCCCAGCGUUUCUCAAGGUGUUGCAUCCACCUCCAACGCCCAUUGAAAGCACCACAUGCUCCAGCUUCAGGUCCUCUCCCCAGCACCGCCCUGUCUGUGACCUUGAGUGCUCCCAUACUGACAGAUUGGCACAUCUCACUGUCACUUGUCUCCUAGGCUUGGAAAGCUCUUUUGCCUUAGGACUGAAGAAAUUGCAGUUUAGGCUUCAACAAGAAAAGGAGAGACAUACAAAAUACAAAAGCAGAGGGAGAGAAACUUAAUUAAGUAUGUUGAAAUAGCAAAGAGAACUAUAACACAAGUUUUCAAUAAAUGACGUUUACAUUUCUCUCUGGA